rnacentral:rRNA from 1 species
UGGGGAAUUUUGGACAAUGGGCGAAAGCCUGAUCCAGCAAUGCCGCGUGUGUGAAGAAGGCCUUCGGGUUGUAAAGCACUUUUGUCCGGAAAGAAAUGGCUCUGGUUAAUACCUGGGGUCGAUGACGGUACCGGAAGAAUAAGGACCGGCUAACUACGUGCCAGCAGCCGCGGUAAUACGUAGGGUCCAAGCGUUAAUCGGAAUUACUGGGCGUAAAGCGUGCGCAGGCGGUUGUGCAAGACCGAUGUGAAAUCCCCGAGCUUAACUUGGGAAUUGCAUUGGUGACUGCACGGCUAGAGUGUGUCAGAGGGGGGUAGAAUUCCACGUGUAGCAGUGAAAUGCGUAGAGAUGUGGAGGAAUACCGAUGGCGAAGGCAGCCCCCUGGGAUAACACUGACGCUCAUGCACGAAAGCGUGGGGAGCAAACAGGAUUAGAUACCCUGGUAGUCCACGCCCUAAACGAUGUCAACUAGUUGUUGGGGAUUCAUUUCCUUAGUAACGUAGCUAACGCGUGAAGUUGACCGCCUGGGGAGUACGGUCGCAAGAUUAAAACUCAAAGGAAUUGACGGGGUCAUAGCUGUUUCCUG